rnacentral:lncRNA from 1 species
AAGUUUCCUUUGUAUAACCCCAUAAAAUCUUCUCGUAUUAGAUGUUUAGGCUUGUUUGAGAAUUUAGAUCCAUGUUGGUUUUGCUUGGUUUCUUGAUUCUUCUCUCUACUUUUUUUUUUUCUUGAUUUUCUUUACUGGGUUACAAAGAUUGAAGUCCGUUUUAAUUUCUCGGUUAAAUAUGAAAACUAAAAAGAAUAUGCUAAUGAGUAUUGAUGCAUGCGGACCAGGGUUCAAAAAAGGAUAUACUAUCUGCUUUAUGGCCUCAGUUCGAAAGGGAUAUUGCCAUGCGGAAACAGCUAUACAUCACUGGUAACAUGAUAUAUAUAUUAAUUGGCAUGAUAAUGUAGAUUAUAUGGCAUGAUAAGAAGAUAUAUUUUUGUUAAUUUCCAUUUCUUAUGCUCAGAGGCAAGGAUUAACAUGGGAAAGGGACACUAUGAUAAUAUAAAUACACCAUAUCAGGAGGAGCUUGUCUGACCUGAUCAUAUAAAGAGUAAAGGUCCCAUUUGUCGGGGAUGUGAGAGAUGAAUCGCUGCCUGUUACUGAUCAAGCUUCCCUUUAUAGCUUAACUAGCUUGUAAUUACUAAUUAUAGGAAGGACAUGAUCAUUUCUCGAUGAUGGUUUGUCGGGAUGAUGGAAUCCAAAGGAGAAAUUUCUUCUUCUUUUCCCUUUCUUAUCUCCUUCGAUUACUUGGCGUUUGAUGAAAAGCAAGAUUAGCCAUAGUGAUGGGCAUUUGGUAAUAGAAAAGACUGGACUGGACUGGUUCUGAGAAGUAAUAGUUGGAAUUAAACCAUUGCAGGAUCAGCUGUAAAAUGGCGAGAGUGGGAUUCCCAUUUCCUAAUUCAGAGAACACUCAAAAUCCAAGGAAGCACGUUCGUUGUUGCUAGAAAUUUAUAAUAGCAGCUCUCGAUCUCCAUAGGAAUGAUGCCUCAUGCCCCUAGCCAUUACUGCCUUUUCAUGAUACGAUGAUUGGCCUAUAUGAUAUUCUUGUUUCCCCCCAGCCCUAGAAAGUGGCCAUCAGAUGAUUUCGCAGUUGUUUUCAAUCUGAAAUGAAAUGCUUCCGGUGCCUGCUUCUGCAAAUUAACUUGAUCGAUAGAGA